AAGACACAAUGAUGAUCACAUAGUUCAGCUGAUGGAACAGUGAUGAAUACGCUUGUCUUUCGCUCCUAUCUGAUGUGUCGA